rnacentral:rRNA from 1 species
AGAGUUGAUUAUGGCUCAGGAUGAACGCUAGCGACAGGCUUAACACAUGCAAGUCGAGGGGCAGCAUAAAGUAGCAUACUUGGUGGCGACCGGCGCACGGGUGAGUAACGCGUAUGCAACCUACCUAUCAGAGGGGAAUAACCCGGCGAAAGUCGGACUAAUACCGCAUAAAACAGGGGCACCGCAUGGUGAUAUUUGUUAAAGAAAUUCGCUGAUAGAUGGGCAUGCGUUCCAUUAGGUAGUUGGUGAGGUAACGGCUCACCAAGCCGACGAUGGAUAGGGGAACUGAGAGGUUGGUCCCCCACACUGGUACUGAGACACGGACCAGACUCCUACGGGAGGCAGCAGUGAGGAAUAUUGGUCAAUGGGCGGGAGCCUGAACCAGCCAAGUCGCGUGAAGGAAAAGAAGGAUCUAUGGUUCGUAAACUUCUUUUGCAGGGGAAUAAAGUGCAGGACGUGUCCUGUUUUGUAUGUACCCUGAGAAUAAGGAUCGGCUAACUCCGUGCCAGCAGCUGC